GCAAAAACAGCAUCCCCUUGUACGCAGCUGCUACUACAAUUCCUCCAGAUUGGCCGGAAGCGUUCCUUCUUCUCUCCUAAGUGACAUAAUUAACCAAAGAAGAGCAGAAAACAAGUGAACAUAUUAGGCCAAAAUGGCCUCAGCUGCUGUUGACCACGUGAUUGGACUAAUAGUGUCUACUGUUCAGAAUGAAGCAACAUUAUCAGUCGGCAUCAACGAUGAGCUUGACGAAAUUAGGAGAGAACUAGUAAGCAUGAAAUCCUUUCUACAUGAUGCUGAGAGAAAGCAAGUCAUGUCAGAAGUAAUGAAGACAUGGGUUGCAGAUGUGAGGGACAUUGCACACCAAAUUGAAGACCUCAUUGAUGAGUACAUGUAUUACGUGUAUCGACAACAACAUUUCACAAAACUCCAUCGAAUUUUUCGCACUCCAAAAACUCUUUUGGAGACUCGUCAAAUUGCCUCUAAGCUGCAACAGAUCAAUAAAACCAUCAAAAGCAUGGAUGAGAGGAGAAGGAGAUAUGGAAUUGAUCGUAUAGAAGGUUUCAGUGACCAUAACAAUUUGCCAUUGUACCGAAGGGAUUCAGCGCCUUAUAUGGAAGAAGAUGACCUUGUCGGGUUUGAGGAAGAAAGUCGAUUGUUGAAAACAUGGUUAAUGGAUAAAGAAGAACAUCGAACUCCCAUUUCAAUGGUUGGAAUGGGGGGAUCUGGUAAGACAACGCUAGUUGCCAAGACCUACAAUGAUGAAACUGUGAAAUCCUAUUUUGAAUGUUGUGCAUGGAUUACCGUCUCUCAGACAUAUACGAGAGAUGAUUUACUCAGAAGUUUAAUCAAAGAAUUCCACCAGUCAAGGAAGGAAGAAGUUCCUAAUGAUUUGGGAACAAAGGACUUUAAAGACCUCGUAGGCAUUCUUAUUGGGUAUUUGGAGCAGAAAAAAUACCUAGUUGUCUUGGAUGAUGUGUGGGAUACGAAUCUGUGGGUGGCAAUAAAGGCAGCACUUCCAGAUAACCACCGUGGAAGUCGGAUCAUGGUUACGACUCAAAAAGAAUAUGUAGGUUCUUUUUCUUCUGGCGUUAAAAGCCGUAUUCUCCAAAUUAAACCACUAAACACGAGAGAGGCAUGGCAUCUCUUUUGCAAGAAAGCAUUCUCAAGUUAUCCUGAUAAAUCUUGUCCAAGAGAGCUUGAACUUUUGGCAUCAGAACUGAUGGGAAAAUGUAAAGGCCUACCUCUUGCAGUUGUGGCUUUGGGCGGUCUCAUGUCUUCCAAAAAGUCAAUAACAGAAUGGAGUAGUGUUUGUGACAACUUGAACUGGCAGCUAAAUAAUAAUCAGAUGUUGGAAGUAGUCAAGAGCAUUUUGUUGCUUAGUUUCAAUGACUUGCCAUCCCCACUUAAGCAUUGUUUCCUCUAUUGCUGCUUAUUUCCUGAGGAUUAUUCAAUUAAGCGAAAGAGACUCAUCAGAUUAUGGAUGGCAGAGGGGUUUGUAGAACAGGUCAGAGGGAUAACACCAGAAGAGGUUGCUGAGGGAUACCUCAUGGAACUCAUUCGCCGAAGUAUGCUUCAAGCUGUAGAGAGGAACUCAUUUGGACUUCCAAAAGCAUGCAAGAUGCAUGAUCUACUACGGGAGCUUGCUCUUUCAAUUUCGGAAGAACAAAAAUUUUGUGCUGUACAUGACGAACAAAGAGUAGGUGCAAGAGAAGAUGGCAUAGCACGUCGUCUGUCAGUCCAAGCACUAGGAAAAGAAACCAGAGUCUAUGAGGGUAUGUCACUGCUUCGCGCUUUCUUUUGGUUUGUUGAUGAUGCGCUCUUUCUUUCUUCCAUAAAUACAUUAGCAUCUGGCUUUAAGCUUCUGAGGGUGCUGGACUUGGAAGAUGCUCCAAUUGAAAAGUUGCCAAAUGACAUAGUCACUUUGUUUAAUUUGAGAUACUUGAACUUGAAAAGAACACUAGUUAAGGAGCUGCCAAAAUCAAUUGGAAGAUUGCAUAACCUUGAAACAUUAAAUAUUGAUGACACCAACAUUAAGGCCCUUCCAAAAGGGAUUGUUAAGUUGCAGAACUUGCGGUAUCUUCUAGCACGCCGUUUGAAUCCUGGACUGUACAAUGAUUUCGAUUAUGUAUCUGGCAUACAAGUGCAUUUAGAUAUAAGUACUUUAAAGAACUUGCAAGUUCUAGGUUGUGUAGAAUCUAGUGGAAAUAUGAUGAAGCAAGUGCAAAGCAUGACCCAGCUAGUGAGACUUGAACUUUCAAACGUUAAAAGUUCAGAUGAAACGGAAUUGUGCUCUGCCAUCCAAAAUAUGCCUUUCCUUUGCCGCUUAUUUGUGAUGGCAAGUAACCAUGAGAUUCUACAGAUGAAUGCUUUGAAAUCACCUCCACCAGGCCUUAGGAGACUCUGUUUGGUUGGAAAGCUGGAGAAUAUCCCAGGAUGGUUUCACUCACUUGAGAGCCUUAGAGUUUUACAUUUGCAUUGGUCCAGCCUAGAAAACGAUCCAACUUCACAUCUUCAAGCGCUUCCCAAUUUAAGGUGGCUUAUCCUUGUCAAAGCAUACGAAGGUAGACACCUGCAAUUUCGUCAAGGGUUUACUAAUCUAGAGAUUUUAGAGUUGCUUAAUUUUCCCACACUUGAGCUGAUAACUAUAGCAAAGGGAGUAAUGUCAGGCCUUAAAGAACUAUGCAUUGGCAAUUGUGAAAAUCUGAUGAUGAUUCCUUGGGGUGUCAAAAAUCUUACCAACCUUCAGGAACUGACACUGAUGAAUGCUUCAGAACAACUCACUAAGCGUAUUUGCGCACCCUCUGGUGUGGAUCAUGAAGUUGUCCAACACAUUCCUAAGAUCAACAAUUUUUGCUUCACAUCAACAGGGUGGUUUCAGGAAAGCCUGUCCUAGAUCUUUCACUAAAAAGUAGGGCUUCUACCUCCUAUCUUGUUUAAUUUAAAUAAGAUCAUACUUCAAUGUGCUUCUCUGUUAGUAUCCACUUCCUAGUGACUUAAAUUAGUAGAUGAUCAAUGUAUUUUCAUGAGUUUUCCUAUUUCCACUGGUUAAAAACCUCACUGUUUGAUAAUUUUUAUGGGCUUUUUUUAUGUUUUCUGCUGUUUGUAUAUUUUGGGUGGCAAUGAAAAAUGAAGGUUGUCUUCAGGUUUCUCCAGCUAAAUUCCUCUGGCGUUUAUGUCUGCUUGUUAGCUCCAUUUGUAUUUGUUGCAAUUUCAGACAAAGGGUUUAAUUACAGUUCAAUGUACUCAUAUGCUGCUUUGCCAGCCGUAGAAAUCAAUGCCCUAUGGCUUCAAUGGACACAGACUACUUGUUGAUUCCAAGCUUGUACAAACUAGCAAACCAAAGAGCAGGUUAGAUUUCAAAGGCAGUGUAAUUUGUGACCAGUUCAUGAUCAGAAAUUGCCAUUGCUGCCCUAUUCCACCAGUUCACACUUAAUUGCCACGAGUUGCUGUCCAGUCAAAACACGGGAAUGGCUAAGGAUUGCUGCAAUCAAAACCUAUGCUACCUCCAAGUUCAAGUAAGAAGGUCAUUCCCAUUCUUCCCUGAUGCCAAGAAUGUUUCCCAAUACUUGGUAGAGAUAACAUUGUGUGAAGACAGUUGGCUAUGUUUCAGGUUUCAUAUGUUUCAUAAGGAUUUUUCCUUCUACACACUACAUUUUAAUCUAUAUUUCCAAAAUUCUUUUAGAGUUUGGUUAAGCAGAUGCCAUCCAUCAUAACAAUGCUUUUUAAACCUGCAUCAGUUU
rnacentral:misc_RNA from 1 species